rnacentral:rRNA from 1 species
UACGUAGGGUGCAAGCGUUGUCCGGAAUUAUUGGGCGUAAAGAGCUCGUAGGCGGUUUGUCGCGUCUGCUGUGAAAACUGGAGGCUCAACCUCCAGCCUGCAGUGGGUACGGGCAGACUAGAGUGCGGUAGGGGAGAUUGGAAUUCCUGGUGUAGCGGUGAAAUGCGCAGAUAUCAGGAGGAACACCGAUGGCGAAGGCAGGUCUCUGGGCCACUACUGACGCUGAGAAGCGAAAGCAUGGGGAGCGAACAGG